AGAGUUUGAUCCUGGCUCAGAACGAACGCUGGCGGCAGGCUUAACACAUGCAAGUCGAACGCCCCGCAAGGGGAGUGGCAGACGGGUGAGUAACACGUGGGAACGUACCUUUCGGUUCGGAAUAACUCAGGGAAACUUGAGCUAAUACCGGAUACGUCCGCAAGGAGAAAGAUUUAUUGCCGAAAGAUCGGCCCGCGUAGGAUUAGCUAGUUGGUGAGGUAAUGGCUCACCAAGGCGACGAUCCUUAGCUGGUCUGAGAGGAUGAUCAGCCACACUGGGACUGAGACACGGCCCAGACUCCUACGGGAGGCAGCAGUGGGGAAUAUUGGACAAUGGGCGAAAGCCUGAUCCAGCCAUGCCGCGUGAAUGAUGAAGGCCUUAGGGUUGUAAAGUUCUUUCAACGGUGAAGAUAAUGACGGUAACCGUAGAAGAGUCCC
rnacentral:rRNA from 1 species